GCAAAGUGCUCCAUCCUCCCUCCUCACAGUGAUUCAAAUGCUGCUAACAGUCUGUGAACCAGGAGGAAGAGGAAGUGAGACUCAAAGAGGAGACAGAGGGCGACAUCAUCCAGUAGGCGGGGCUCUCCUUCUGCACUGUGUUCAACCAUUGUGUCAAUAAUAAGUGCUGCUGUGAAGAGAACAAUUCUCAGACUGAAUGUUGAACAUCAGCUAGUUUCUCCUGUUGAUUUAAACCUUGUUGUACAGAUGGAACAUUGGCUGUGGAUUAUUCUUGCUGCUCUUUUCUUUGAGUGUAAAGGAGAAGACAAAGUGAUCCAGGAACAAGGAGAUGCCAUUGCUGCUGAAGGAGACACAGUUACACUUUACUGCAAAUACGAAACAACUUCUGCAUUUCCAUAUUUGUUCUGGUACAAACAGGACGUGAACGACUAUCCGAAAUAUGUUUUACGGCGAGAUGCUUCUGGAACUGAAAACGCUCAAGAGUUCCCGAAGAACAGAUUUGAUGCUGAACUCAACAAGACAUCAGUUUCUCUGAAGAUCCAGAAGCUUCAGCUGUCUGACUCUGCUGUGUACUACUGUGCUCUGCAGCCCACAGUGACAGGAAACAGCAAAACUCUGUACAAAAACCUUUGGAGCAAAGACAACAGAAUACUCCACAACAUCCACUAGAGGGAGCCACACACUGUUAAACCUCUGAUUCUUGUGUCAUUGGACUGAUGACAAAGACAACAGAGAAAUGAAGCAGUAAAGAUCAGAGACAGAGACAGAGCUGCUGUGGAAGCACAAAACUAUUCGAAUAAAAAACCCUUUAUUUAUAACAAAA